CUCAGGUUUUGUUGUGUUGCUCAAUAAAGCAUUACUUUUGACAUCUGGAACCCUGGACUUCGAGAGUUUUCUUACUGAGAGGGAAAGAGACUUCAAUAUUCCAUGACACUGUCAGUGAGACGAACUUUACCUCAGGUACAAGCUCAGACGCAGCUGUCUGAGGGAAGCUGUAUUUAAGCAGAGCAAAAUCUCAGAAUUCCAGUGGAAAACAUCAAAUUAAGCUAUGUCUAAUAUCUCGACUCACUGACCUGUGGAAUGUUCCUAGUUGAAGUGAGGUCCCAGUGGGCUGCUAGAGCCAGAGUCCAGUGCAGGCUGACCCCCAAGAGCCUGCCAUCAGGACUGGCUGGUGUGUC